CAGCAGCAGCAGCAUAGGCAGCA
rnacentral:scRNA from 1 species